GACGAACGCUGGCGGCGUGCUUAACACAUGCAAGUCGAACGGAAAGGCCCUGCUUUUGUGGGGUGCUCGAGUGGCGAACGGGUGAGUAACACGUGAGUAACCUGCCCUUGACUUUGGGAUAACUUCAGGAAACUGGGGCUAAUACCGGAUAGGAGCUCCUGCUGCAUGGGGGGGGUUGGAAAGUUUCGGCGGUUGGGGAUGGACUCGCGGCUUAUCAGCUUGUUGGUGGGGUAGUGGCUUACCAAGGCUUUGACGGGUAGCCGGCCUGAGAGGGUGACCGGCCACAUUGGGACUGAGAUACGGCCCAGACUCCUACGGGAGGCAGCAGUGGGGAAUAUUGCACAAUGGGCGGAAGCCUGAUGCAGCAACGCCGCGUGCGGGAUGACGGCCUUCGGGUUGUAAACCGCUUUCGCCUGUGACGAAGAGUGAGUGACGGUAAUGGGUAAAGAAGCACCGGCUAACUACGUG
rnacentral:rRNA from 1 species